rnacentral:rRNA from 1 species
GAUGAACGCUGGCGGCGUGCCUAAUACAUGCAAGUCGAGCGAACAGACGAGGAGCUUGCUCCUCUGACGUUAGCGGCGGACGGGUGAGUAACACGUGGAUAACCUACCUAUCAGACUGGGAUAACUUCGGGAAACCGGAGCUAAUACCGGAUAAUAUAUUGAACCGCAUGGUUCAAUAGUGAAAGACGGUUUUGCUGUCACUUAUAGAUGGAUCCGCGCCGCAUUAGCUAGUUGGUAAGGUAACGGCUUACCAAGGCAACGAUGCGUAGCCGACCGGAGAGGGUGAUCGGCCACACUGGAGCUGAGACACGGUCCAGACGCCUACGGGAGGCAGCAGUAGGGAAUCUUCCGCAAUGGGCGAAAGCCUGACGGAGCAACGCCGCGUGAGUGAUGAAGGUCUUCGGAUCGUAAAACUCUGUUAUUAGGGAAGAACAAAUGUGUAAGUAACUAUGCACGUCGUGACGGUACCUAAUCAGAAAGCCACGGCUAACUACGUG